rnacentral:piRNA from 1 species
UUGAAUUAUAUAGGGAANAGCCUCUGUAG